rnacentral:rRNA from 1 species
UACGGAGGGGGGCUAGCGUUGUUCGGAAUUACUGGGCGUAAAGCGCGCGUAGGCGGAUCUGCAAGUCGGGGGUGAAAUCCCGAGGCUCAACCUCGGAACUGCCUUCGAUACUGCCGGGGCUAGAGUCCGGAAGAGGUGAGUGGAAUUCCUGGUGUAGCGGUGAAAUGCGCAGAUAUCAGGAGGAACACCGAUGGCGAAGGCAGCUCACUGGGACGGUACUGACGCUGAGAACGCGAAAGCCGUGGGGGAGC